UGUCACAUGGACGCGAUGUGACUCUAGAUUAAUAAAACAUGACUGUUUUACAGUAUCCACACACAACCAUGGAUAGCCUCACACAUGUGUAAAGUUACUGGUGUCUCUACAACACUGAAGAGCCAGGCAUAAACCGGAAGACGUCGCUUGGGUCUGCCAGUGAUUAGGCUGCUUCCGCAUGUAACCAUCUAUACUGCAUGAGAAACUGCGGGAUGACGGUUGCGAAGUGGCGUAGCAAUCACGUGAAUAUUAUUAUGACCAUUAUUGUCUUAUUAUGCGUCUUAUCCGUGUCACCCUAUAUUGUUAAUAAUUAGCCUAUUUAUGUUGUAAUAUCAUAUUUUGUACUAUUAGAAAGAGCGUUUCUUACAGUGCAUGUAACAUCACUGUACUUGGUUUGUGUUCAAUAAACAAGAGUUCGUUGGUACGA